rnacentral:lncRNA from 1 species
GUCAGCAAGCUACUCAGUAUCUGACGUGGUUUCUAAGGUGGAGUUGCAUGGGGAGCACUCUCCCGUGGCUGCUGAGUGAAGGCAACAGUGAUGUCCAAAACAAGCCCGUCCGGCUCUGAACCACCAGUUGGCAGGCCAGGAUGACUCCAGUCUUUAGCAAAGAGCUUUCCAUUCUAACUCCCGAAAUCCCAGACCAGAUGGAUGUCUCCUCCCAACUAGGCGCAGAGGGUAGCACAGACUUCCAAAAGGAAACACCUUCAUUAAAUGCAGCAGGCAGUCCUAUAUGCUGACCCUUGGGUCAAACCACAGCUUAAGCGGGGGAAGAAGUGGUUCUGAUCCAUGUACAGCCAGAUCUGCUGAGGAGUCUGGGGUUCCCAGGAACCAGAUUUGCAGAUCCUGGACGAUGGUGCUUCCCUUGCUG